rnacentral:tRNA from 1 species
UGCCAUAGCUCAGUUGGUAGAGCAAAGGACUGAAAAUCCUUGUGUCCCCGGUUCGAUUCCUGG